AACCCAUCUUUGCAUGGCAUCACUCAGGCACCUCUGUAAAUUAGGACCUGGGUACAAGUCAUUGAGCUUGGAAGAUUAACAGCAGGAGGCGAGAGAGGAAACAGAGCAGUCGAAGCCAGGCGGCUCCUCACCCCUCACAGCGUGAGUCAAGAUCGGGCAUCUUAUGUUGAUGAAUCACAAGGAACAUGACAAGACCCAGCACGUGAACACCAGCCAGCUACCUCGGGCUAGGUGAGGGAGGCCUGGCGGGCGGCUUCCUCUACUGGCUGACACUUGGCCAAACAAUUGGAAUUUUUUCUCUCUCUCUCUUCUAAACCACAUGCAUUCCUCUGAUUAAAGCGAAAGCAUAACGGGCUUGUAA
ensembl:antisense Gm16075 predicted gene 16075